CAGACCAGCUGGAGUUUCCCCGCUUCUCCCAAGUGUGACUCACCCUAGUCCCCCCCUCCCCGCCGCCGCCUCCGCUCCGCCUCCCCAGGGAGAUUCCGAAGAGGAGGCAGGCUGGCUAGCAAGGGGCGACGCGGCUGGGGUGAUCUAGGGAGGAAUCGCCGAGGCGCCCCCCCUCCCCACACGCCCACGCUGAUCCGCGGCACGCGGGACGAGUUUUCUGGAGGAGAAGGCGCGAGAAGGAUCUCCGGCGGGCGGAUCUUCCGCACGGAAGCGCCUGGCUCGCUGCGGGGCGGCCAGACGCCCGGCCACGUGUUUACGUGGGAUGCAGGCUUGCGCGCGGACAGCUCUCAGCUGAGCCAACGUUCAGCCAGCCCAGCAGCUCCCCAAUGGCAAAUGAAUGCCGCAGAGCUUCCUGGCAACACCCCUUCCAACGGCUUCCCCCGAGUUGGAUGGCUCUGCCUGAAGGCAAGAAACAAAAAAAGAUGGAGAAUGCUGUAGCAUACCAGUCUUUAAGAUGAGACCUGCACAAUUUGUGACUAGUAUUGCUCACCAGCUAUGUAAGCCUGGGCUGCAAAAACAGUGGGAUUAUCAAGCAUCUGGUAAGCCGCAAUAGAUAGCUGUGGGCUGUGUUCAGCUUGGUGAAUCAUAAUUUAUGUAAGCCAGCUUUAAGUCUGCCCAGUGCUACCCUUUGUGAGCUUUGGUAUGAAAAAUGGUUGUUGUUUUCUUUUAAAUCAUUUCCCAAAAGCUGAAUAGCGUACCUAAGCAUACAAUCCUGUACUCCAGACCUACUAGCUAACAGGUUAUAGGAUUCAGUGGAAGCCCCACUAUGCCUGCAGCUAGGGGUGUCAGAGAAUUUUGACAAAAACAGAGCUGAAAUUGCUGAUGUUCACUCAUUUGUCCCAUGUCCAGAAUAGAAAUCAGACCAGCAAAUACGGUCGGAAUCUGCUGUUGUUGUUUUCAGUCUGUAAAUGAUACAUAAAUAAGUCCCACUGAAUGCAAUGGGACUUACUCCUUACAAAGUAUAUUUAGAAUGGCAACCUAGGAAUCGGAAAGAUUAAUAGUAGUUUCUCAGAGCAGAAAGUGGUACGAGUGGUAUGCACCCUCUUUUGUCCCACAGUUUUUGCAGGGUCCGAAGCACUACAAAAAAGCCUGCAAACCCUGUUUGACCAGGGAUACACCAUGAGCAAUGAUGGUUCUGACAUACCAGCUUCAACUCUCUGAAAAACAAUUGUCAGGGUACAGUCUCAAUAAAAAUAAUCUAAGCUUUUAUCAAAUUCCUCUCCAUGUGUUUAAAUUUCAAUACUGGGGAGAAGAAUUCUAGUCUGGCCUUCUUCCUGAUAAGUUACUUUUAUGUGCAGGGAUUUCCCUCCUACCCUUCUCUGGAGCAUUCAGUAAUGCUCCUUCCCUACCUGCAGUGGAAAUGGGCAGCUGUUCCACUGUGUCUAAUACUUGUAAAAUGAAGAUCUUAAUCUUUAAAUCUUUAAUCUUUUAAUCUGUAUUUUAAUUUUUGUAGUAUUUAUUUUGUUUUUGCUGUGCUUUUCGUUGUUUGUUUGUAUAUGUUUUUGUAUUUUUAUUAUGAUAUAUUGUAUUUUAUUUUGUUUGUU